UAGAUGUUACGCUGUUAAAUUCGUCGCAUCUUACGCCUGUCCAGAGGCAGAAGGAUGUGUUCGAUGACCAACCUGAUGGUGUAGGACUCAAGGAUUUUGCCAGCUUUGACAUGAAAGUGCCAUCAUCUGCAAUGACCAUUCGAAGGAAGAGGAUGAGAGAGAAACAUAGGAACAGCACUUGUUUUACUUUUGAUCUUAAGGAGGCCAUUUAGAUUUCUUUGCGAACACAAGAGCAGAUUCUUUUUGGGGAAACAAUGGAGUGCUUCACUACACCACCCACCGCACUCUAAACAACAAGCUUUGAAAGGAAA
rnacentral:lncRNA from 1 species